UUGCUCUGACCUCGGAUCAGUA
rnacentral:rRNA from 3 species